GACAGAGGGUGCAAUCGUUGUUCGGAAUUACUGGGCGUAAAGCGUGUGUAGGCGGCCUCGUAAGUCGGAUGUGAAAGCCCCAGGCUUAACCUGGGAAGUGCACUCGAAACUGCGAGGCUUGAGUAUCGGAGAGGUUGGUGGAAUUCUCGGUGUAGAGGUGAAAUUCGUAGAUAUCGAGAGGAACACCGGUGGCGAAGGCGGCCAACUGGACGAAUACUGACGCUGAGACACGAAAGCGUGGGGAGCAAACAGG
rnacentral:rRNA from 1 species